rnacentral:rRNA from 1 species
UGUAAGCGUAUACCAAAGUUGUUGCAGUUAAAACGCUCGUAGUCGGAAUUUGGCAGUUCCGGAUGUGUGCACGUCGUGUGCGCACUUCGCGGGGAUUGCUUUUGUGGUCUUGCGUAGGAUGAGGCACUUUUAUUAGUGAACGUCCUCACGCAACCACUUUUUACUGUGAGAAAAUCAGAGUGCUCAAAGCAGGCAUUUGCCGUGAGUGUAUUAGCAUGGAAUAAUAGAAUAGGACUUGGUUCUAUUUUGUUGGUUUGUUGGGACUGAGUAAUGAUUAAGAGGGACAGUUGGGGGCAUUUGUAUUUCGGUGCUAGAGGUGAAAUUCUUAGAUUACCGAAAGACAAACUGCUGCGAAAGCGUCUGCCAAGGAUGUUUUCAUUGA